GAGUUUGAUCAUGGCUCAGAACGAACGCUGGCGGCGUGCUUAACACAUGCAGGUCGAGCGGAAAGGCCCUUCGGGGUACUCGAGCGGCGAACGGGUGAGUAACACGUGAGUAACCUGCCCUCAACUUCGGGAUAAGCCUGGGAAACCGGGUCUAAUACCGGGUAGGACUGUCCCCGGCAUCGGGGAUGGUGGAAAGUUUUUCGGUUGGGGAUGGACUCGCGGCCUAUCAGCUUGUUGGUGGGGUAGUGGCCUACCAAGGCGACGACGGGUAGCCGGCCUGAGAGGGCGACCGGCCACACUGGGACUGAGACACGGCCCAGACUCCUACGGGAGGCAGCAGUGGGGAAUAUUGCGCAAUGGGCGAAAGCCUGACGCAGCGACGCCGCGUGGGGGAUGACGGCC
rnacentral:rRNA from 1 species